GUCUGGAUGGUACAGUGGUCAGUGCAUCUGCCUGGUAAGCAGAAGUCCUGGGUCUGAAUCCCGGUCCAGCACA